GCUUCUGUGGCUCAGUUGGCUAGAGCGUUGGUCUCAUAUAAUAUGAUCACAUCUAGAUGUGAGCAAUCCAAAGGUCGCAAGUUCGAGCCUUGCCAGGAGCA
rnacentral:tRNA from 1 species